rnacentral:misc_RNA from 1 species
UGUUAACAGUAAUUAUUAAAUAAUAUUAAAGAUGUUAAAGAAAAAAAAAAUAGAAUCCAGGUAUGAAAAUAGCGUGUUCGAUAGUACGGUGCCUGUCCCUUCUGAGCACGGAUGAUAUGACUUCGCUGCACGCCAUUCACUACCAGUCGCUGGCUAUACGUCCUGUUAAGCUAAAGUUCUAUUUACUUGGUUGACUUAGCUACAAACCCCAAGAGCUUGAACAAGAUUUCUCGACUAAUAGUAUACGUGUGACCGUAUAUUUCUUCUUCAUCAUAAUCGAUCGGAGCUUAUAUGUAAAGCUUGUUAAGCUACCUUGCGUGCCAUAGUGCCAGCGGAAUGCUGACGACUAGCAACUACCCUCGACGAUGUCGUAUGGGUGGAACAUCUACUUUUGGUGUCACUUCUCCUGGAAUUUUGUCUUCUCGAUCUAAAUUACUGGUGAGGUCUUAUUACAAACCAAGAAAUACUUCCAACUUUACUCAUAUUGAAAAUGCUCCAUUUGGAAGACCAAAAAGAUUCAAAAUUAGAAGAAUAAAUUCUUUCCAAAAGAUGGACACAACGAAGAAGAAAAUACCUGACUAUACUGAUACAGUGUACCGAGAAGCUGUUUCUAGAUUGAAAUGUUUACUAGCAGAAUCUUACACUUCAAGAAGCGGGAAAGUACUACGAGAUAGAAGUAUUUACAGACGUAGUAACACAAAAUUACAUGAAUCUGGAGACGAAACUGAUGAAAGAAGUAUAAGUGAAUGUUCCAAAGGAUUAUCAACAAAUUUAUUAUUACGAGAAAAUAUUUCUGAUAAGAAUCGUUUGCCUUUAACAUCGGCAUUGAUGACAGAUGAUUCUCAAAUCUCACCAAAAGAACUGUCAACUCUCAUCAUGCGUCAGGAAGAAUAUAUUGAACAGCUUGAAAGUGAAUCACAGUUUUGUAAAGACGAGUUGAAGAAUUUACUUGAAAAAAUUCGAGAAGUUGUUGCAGAAAAUGAAGCUUUGCAUGACAAAAAUAAAACAACUUUACUUAAAUCUUUCCUCAAUGAGUUUGAUAGUAAUAAAGACACAAAAAGAAUUGAUGGGACGAAACAUAUAAACCUACAUGAUGGAGAAUUUUCUUCUGGAAAGAAAAUAAAACUUCAUCAGGUUACUGAAGGUCCAAGUAUUAUUUUUGAAUCACGAAUUAGUGAAUUAGAAGCUCAGUUGACUCAAGCUAGAAUCGAAUUGAGAAAAGCUCAGGAAGAAAACCAAAAUUGUAUAAAAAAAAUGUCUGAAGGUGGUUCAAGUUCUUCAAGUCCUGAAACAAUGGCUCAGUUGGACCAACUAAUGAAAGAAAAGAGGGAACUCAAUUCCAAAUUAGAUGAAGCUUUGAGAAACCUAAAAAGUGUUCGAGAAAAAGAAAUGGAAGCUACACAGAAGGCAAAAAGAGCUCAGGAUUUAGCUCAGCAAGCAGAAUUUGAUAAAAGUCAACUGGAAUCUGAAAUCAGGAGACUCAAAGAUGAGUUAGAAAGACAACGAGAUAAGAUUCGAGAAGCUACUCAAGACACAAGUCGUCGUUUAGCUGAAGAAAGACAUCAAGUUGAACGUAGAUAUAGUCAACAAGUUGAACAAUUAACUGCUGAUAUUGCUACUCAUUGGGAUGCUGCCUCUAAAUCACAGUUAGAAAUAGAUAAACAGAGAAGAGAAAUUGCUGAUCUUAAAAGAGAGUUGAAUCAAAAGCAAGCGAUGAAUGAUGAUCUAAAAAAAGAAAUGCUUCUCAAAACAUCUAACUUGCAGAGUGAUAUAAAUCAAUUAGCAGCAGAAAAAGAUGCCGUGGAACAGGAAUUAGCAACCGUAAAAUUGGCAGCAGAGCGCAAUGAAAGACAUGCACGUCAGGAGCAAAGUCGUUGCCAAAUAGAAAUAAAUUCUUACAAGCAGCGAUUGGAAAGAGCUGAUGUGGAUAUAGUUCAUUGUCGCCGAGAGAAUCUUCGAUUAUCUGAGCAAAUAGCUUCUCUUGAGAAAGAGCUGAAUAUGGAGAAAAUAGCUCAUGCCAGUGAAGGCCAAACACCAGCAGCAACACCAAGAGUAGAAAAUGAAAAAGAUUUGACGUCAAUGAUAAUGGAGAUGGAAACAAAGCAUGAGAAAGCAGGUGAUGCGGCUGAUGGGUCAUUUAACUUGGCAACCACCCCUUCAAAAAAGAAGCGUACUGUAAAGGUUGAUCUUAAACUUAAAAUAAACCCAAAAAAGAAGUCAGUCAUUUUGAAAUCCGCUCAGGCACCUCUUUCAGCACAGCAAUAGUUUAUUGACAUGUUAUUUUAGACUGGAAGAAAUGGCCAGUUUACAAAACAACAUAGAAUUUUUGACGAAAAAAAUAAAAGAAACAUUUGAAAGUCAAAAAGGAAAAUCGCCAGGAACAGAAUCAUCGAUAGAACCAUCACCAAACCAAAAUGUCACAUCUCAUGG